GAUGAACGCUGGCGGCGUGCCUAAUACAUGCAAGUCGAGCGAACAGACGAGGAGCUUGCUCCUCUGACGUUAGCGGCGGACGGGUGAGUAACACGUGGAUAACCUACCUAUAAGAUUGGGAUAACUUCGGGAAACCGGAGCUAAUACCGGAUAAUAUAUUGAACCGCAUGGUUCAAUAGUGAAAGACGGUUUUGCUGUCACUUAUAGAUGGAUCCGCGCCGCAUUAGCUAGUUGGUAAGGUAACGGCUUACCAAGGCAACGAUGCGUAGCCGACCUGAGAGGGUGAUCGGCCACACUGGAACUGAGACACGGUCCAGACUCCUACGGGAGGCAGCAGUAGGGAAUCUUCCGCAAUGGGCGAAAGCCUGACGGAGCAACGCCGCGUGAGUGAUGAAGGUCUUCGGAUCGUAAAACUCUGUUAUUAGGGAAGAACAAAUGUGUAAGUAACUAUGCACGUCUUGACGGUACCUAAUCAGAAAGCCACGGCUAACUACGUG
rnacentral:rRNA from 1 species